GAGUUUGAUCCUGGCUCAGAUUGAACGCUGGCGGCAGGCCUAACACAUGCAAGUCGAGCGGUAGAGAGAAGCUUGCUUCUCUUGAGAGCGGCGGACGGGUGAGUAAUGCCUAGGAAUCUGCCUGGUAGUGGGGGAUAACGCUCGGAAACGGACGCUAAUACCGCAUACGUCCUACGGGAGAAAGCAGGGGACCUUCGGGCCUUGCGCUAUCAGAUGAGCCUAGGUCGGAUUAGCUAGUUGGUGAGGUAAUGGCUCACCAAGGCGACGAUCCGUAACUGGUCUGAGAGGAUGAUCAGUCACACUGGAACUGAGACACGGUCCAGACUCUACGGGAGGCAGCAGUGGGGAAUAUUGGACAAUGGGCGAAAGCCUGAUCCAGCCAUGCCGCGUGUGUGAAGAAGGUCUUCGGGAUUGUAAAGCACUUUAAGUUGGGAGGAAGGGCAGUAAAUUAAUACUUUGCUGUUUUGACGUUACCGACAGAAUAAGCACCGGCUAACUCUGUG
rnacentral:rRNA from 1 species